GAUGAACGCUGGCGGCGUGCCUAAUACAUGCAAGUUGAGCGCUGAAGGUUGGUACUUGUACCGACUGGAUGAGCAGCGAACGGGUGAGUAACGCGUGGGGAAUCUGCCUUUGAGCGGGGGACAACAUUUGGAAACGAAUGCUAAUACCGCAUAAAAACUUUAAACACAAGUUUUAAGUUUGAAAGUUGCAAUUGCAUCACUCAAAGAUGAUCCCGCGUUGUAUUAGCUAGUUGGUGAGGUAAAGGCUCACCAAGGCGAUGAUACAUAGCCGACCUGGGAGGGUGAUCGGCCACAUUGGGACUGAGACACGGCCCAAACUCCUACGGGAGGCAGCAGUAGGGAAUCUUCGGCAAUGGACGAAAGUCUGACCGAGCAACGCCGCGUGAGUGAAGAAGGUUUUUGGAUCGUAAAACUCUGUUGGUAGAGAAGAACGUUGGUGAGAGUGGAAAGCUCAUCAAGUGACGGUAACUACCCAGAAAGGGACGGCUAACUACGUGCCAGCCGCCGCCGUAA
rnacentral:rRNA from 1 species